rnacentral:rRNA from 1 species
AUUGAACGCUGGCGGCAUGCUUUACACGUGCAAGUCGAACGGCAGCGCGGGCUUCGGCCUGGCGGCGAGUGGCGAACGGGUGAGUAAUGCAUUGGAACGUGCCCAGUAGUGGGGGAUAGCCCGGCGAAAGCCGGAUUAAUACCGCAUACGACCUGAGGGUGAAAGCGGGGGACCGAAAGGCCUCGCGCUAUUGGAGCGGCCGAUGUCGGAUUAGCUAGUUGGUGGGGUAAAGGCUUACCAAGGCGACGAUCCGUAGCUGGUCUGAGAGGACGACCAGCCACACUGGGACUGAGACACGGCCCAGACUCCUACGGGAGGCAGCAGUGGGGAAUUUUGGACAAUGGGGGCAACCCUGAUCCAGCCAUGCCGCGUGCGGGAAGAAGGCCUUCGGGUUGUAAACCGCUUUUGUUCGGGAAGAAAUCCUCUGGGCUAAUACCCCGGGGGGAUGACGGUACCGGAAGAAUAAGCGCCGGCUAACUACGUG